CCUACGGGCGGCAGCAGUGAGGAAUAUUGGUCAAUGGCCGAGAGGUUGAACCAGCCAAGUCGCGUGAGGGAAGACGGCCCUACGGGUUGUAAACCUCUUUUGUCGGGGAGUAAAGCGAACCACGUGUGGUUCAUUGAGAGUACCCGAUGAAAAAGCAUCGGCUAACUCCGUGCCAGCAGCCGCGGUAAUACGGGGGAUGCGAGCGUUAUCCGGAUUUAUUGGGUUUAAAGGGUGCGCAGGCGGGGGUGCAAGUCAGCGGUCAAAUUGCGGGGCUCAACCUAGUACUGCCGUUGAAACUGCAUCCCUUGAGUGCGCGAGAAGUAGGCGGAAUGCGUGGUGUAGCGGUGAAAUGCAUAGAUAUCACGCAGAACUCCGAUUGCGAAGGCAGCAUACCGGCGCGCAACUGACACUCAUGCACGAAAGCGUGGGUAUCGAACAGGAUUAGAUACCCCAGUAGUC
rnacentral:rRNA from 1 species